rnacentral:misc_RNA from 1 species
GAAAUGCGAUAAGUAAUGAGAAUUGCAGAAUUCAGUGAAUCAUCGAAUCUUUGAACGCACAUUGCGCCCGCCAGAAUUCUGGCGGGCAUGCCUGUUCGAGCGUCAUUUCAACCCUCGAGCUCCCCUUUCGGGGGGAGCCCGGCGUUGGGGACCCGGCGCUAACAACGCCGGCCCCGAAAUGGAGUGGCGGCCCGUCCGCGGCGACCUCUGCGUAGUAACAACCACUCGCACCGGGACCCGGGCGCGGCCACGCCGUAAAACACCCCACCUUCCGAAUGUUGACCUCGAAUCAGGUAGGAAUACCCGCUGAACUUAAGC